UAAUACGAAGGGUGCAAGCGUUACUCGGAAUUACUGGGCGUAAAGCGUGCGUAGGUGGUGAGUUAAGUCUGAUGUGAAAUCCCCGGGCUCAACCUGGGAAUGGCAUUGGAUACUGGCUCGCUAGAGUGCGGUAGAGGGUGGUGGAAUUCCCGGUGUAGCAGUGAAAUGCGUAGAGAUCGGGAGGAACAUCUGUGGCGAAGGCGGCCACCUGGACCAACACUGACACUGAGGCACGAAAGCGUGGGGAGCAAACAGGAUUAGAUACCCUGGUAGUCCACGCCCUAAACGAUGCGAACUGGAUGUUGGGCUCAACUUGGAGCUCAGUAUCGAAGCUAACGCGUUAAGUUCGCCGCCUGGGGAGUACGGUCGCAAGACUG
rnacentral:rRNA from 1 species